rnacentral:rRNA from 1 species
AUACGGGGGAUUCAAGCGUUAUCCGGACUUAUUGGGUUUAAAGGGUGCGUAGGCUGAUAAAUCAGUCAGCGGUGAAAUUUACGGGCUUAACUUGUAGCUUGCCGUUGAAACUAUUUAUCUAGAGAUAUUUCGGCGUAUGCGGAAUGUAUCAAGUAGCGGUGAAAUGCAUAGAUAUGCUACAGAACACCAAUCGCGAAGGCAGCAUACGAGGCAUCAUCUGACGCUGAUGCACGAAAGCGUGGGGAUCAAACAGGAUUAGAUACCCUGGUAGUCCACGCUGUAAACUAUGGGCGCUCGUCGUCGGCGGCAGACAGUCGGCGGCCAAGCGAAAGCGAUAAGCGCCCCACCUGGGGAGUACGGUCGCAAGGCUGAAACUCAAAUGAAUUGACGGGG